rnacentral:tRNA from 1 species
CGGCGGGGGUGGCCGAGCCGGGGCGGCUGGCGCUGUUCCUGGCCGCGGUGCUCGCCGUGGGCAUGGCCGGGGCCGGGUUCAACCUGGCCCGGCAGGC